rnacentral:misc_RNA from 1 species
CCACUCAAGCUCGGCUUGUUAUUGGGUCCUUUAUCGUUAAAAAGAUAGGCCCGAAAGAUAAUGGCGGCGUCAAGAAUGACCCCAGGUGCAGCGAGCUUAUACAGCAUACACUGAGGUGGUUAUCUUGGCCUGGCCUUGUUUGUUAAAAACACAUUUCAAAGGUUGACCUCGGAUUAGGUAGGAAUACCCGCUGAACUUAA